UACGGGGGGGCAAGCGUUGUUCGGAAUUACUGGGCGUAAAGGGCUCGUAGGUGGUCAACUAAGUCGGACGUGGAAUCCCUCGGCUUAACCGGGGAACUGCGUCCGAUACUGGAUGACUUGAGUUCGGGAGAGGGAUGCGGAAUUCCAGGUGUAGCGGUGAAAUGCGUAGAUAUCUGGAGGAACACCGGUGGCGAAGGCGGCAUCCUGGACCGACACUGACGCUGAGGAGCGAAAGCCAGGGGAGCAAACGGG
rnacentral:rRNA from 1 species